AACGAACGCUGGCGGCAUGCCUAACACAUGCAAGUCGAACGAGACCUUCGGGUCUAGUGGCGCACGGGUGCGUAACGCGUGGGGAUCUGCCCUUUGCUUCGGAAUAACAGUUAGAAAUGACUGCUAAUACCGGAUGAUGUCGUAAGACCAAAGAUUUAUCGGCAAAGGAUGAACCCGCGUAGGAUUAGCUAGUUGGUGGGUAAAGGCCUACCAAGGCGACGAUCCUUAGCUGGUCUGAGAGGAUGAUCAGCCACACUGGGACUGAGACACGGCCCAGACUCCUACGGGAGGCAGCAGUGGGGAAUAUUGGACAAUGGGCGAAAGCCUGAUCCAGCAAUGCCGCGUGAGUGAUGAAGGCCUUCGGGUGUAAAGCUCUUUUACCACGGAUGAUAAUGACAGUACCUGGAGAAUAAGCUCCGGCUAACUCCGUGCCAGCAGCCGCGGUAA
rnacentral:rRNA from 1 species